rnacentral:rRNA from 1 species
GACGAACGCUGGCGGCGUGCUUAACACAUGCAAGUCGAACGGCAAGGCCUGCUUUCCCUUGUGGGCUGCGGGCACUCGGGUGGCUAACGGAUGAGUAACACCUGAAUGAUGUGCGCUCACGUUGGGUAUAAUCUUGGGAUACUGCGUCUGAUUCACGAUUGAACGGCAGGGUGGGGCACGCCUUGGGAGACGGUUUUCUAGUGGUUGGGGAUGAGCUGGUGGCCUGUGAGCUAGUUGGUGGGGGAAAGGUCUACCACGGGCACGACGGGUAGCCGGGCGGAGAGGACGAGCGGCGACAGUGGGACUGAGACACGGACCAGACUCCUACGGGAGGCAGCAGUAGGGAAUGUGGGACAAUGGGCGAAGGCGUGAUCCAGACGUGCCGCGGCCGGGAUGAAGAUCUCCGGGUUGUAAUCGGCUUCUGCUCGGGACGAAGAGGUAGCUACUAGGAUGGAAGGGUAGUGACGGUACCGGAAGAAGAAGCACCGGCUAACUACGUG